AGGCCGUGGGGAAGAGGUGCGAGUCAGGUUUCAAUUUUGGACAAAACCAGUUGCAUGCUGCAGGCCAGCAGUUGCCAUGCAGCUGCCAUGCCUUCCUAACUCUCUGGUCCCCCUCGUCUCGUCACAUCCCUCCAAGACUCAGUCAACGUGGAGCGGGUGCAGGACCAGAGUCCACAGCCAACGGCGGUUUGGCCCUCGACAAAGCUCACACCGCCCUGCUCCUACCCCCAGGCCUAGGCACCGCCCCAUGCCCAGAGCAUCCUGAGAGUUGUAGUCCUGCAGCCCUACAGGUUGCCAGCUAGGAGCAGUUAAGAGACGAAAGCUCCUAGCAUGCACAGUUUGUGGCCCCCACUCUCGCCUUGUUCCUCCGGCCCUGGGCCCCACCCCUCUGCUUCUCCACCCCACCCUCUACCCCACCUCUUCUCUAUACCACGCCUACUCUCCAUGCCCUGCCCACCCACCAGAGUUUUCAUAGUGUGGUUGGGCUGCAUCCAUUAAGGCUGGUACUCAGGUAGGGGUGGGGCUCACCAGCCUGGUUAUUGCUGAGGAUGCUUGCAGCCCUGGUGGAAGCACCCUGGCCAGUAUUUGAAAUGUAAAUUCAAUAUCUAAAAUGGAAAUACCGGGUGCCAGGCAUCCUGGAAUUUGCCUUUUCAAGGCCACCUGUCCUAUCAUCCCCUCCAUCCCUCCAGGCUGCCAUGAUCCUCCCUCUGAACCCCAUGGUCAGUGUCGCUGCAGAGAUCCUCCCUUUGGACCCUGCUUGCCUGAAGGGCCCAUACCUUGAUCAGACGUCUUAGAACGACUGCCCUUAGCCAUGUCAUAAAAAGGAGAAAACAUCAUAUUUGACAACCCCAAUUCCUGCAUUAUACAGACAGGAAACUCAGGUGCACUUCACCACACGCUUCUCAGUUGCGUGGAUGCACAUCUCCACUUCUCUGCAGGGAGGACGAACAACAGCAGAAUACCCGUGGCCUGACUUUCUGGAGCAUCAGUAUUACUACAAGAUUUGGAAAAACCAAAGUUAGGUCAUUUCCAAGGGGUAUGGAGCUCCCAGACUUAUUAACUACACAGAGAGAGGAAGAGUCAGAACACAUUCAAUAAACUCUAGUGUGCUCAGGUGAGAUGGUAAGUGCCUGAACUCACAUCUGAAGAAGAACUUAGAGGAUGCUUUCUGACUCUGCUUCAUGCCUGACUAAGCAGUCCUGGACAUCCCCGUUAUGGCCACAGAAUAACACAGGCAGCCUUGAUGGACCAGAAGUCCUCCUAUGUCCAUCAUUUGUACAGAACAAACUGGCUUAAGACCUCUCAUUUCCUGCUGCAGUGGUAAUUUACAGAGAUACAGAACUGCCAUCUAGUGACUCAGAAGAAAACAGCAAGGUGCUUUACAUGGAAAAUGAAAUUGUAAGUUUUUAAAAAAAGAACAGUGAAGCACUAAAGUUGGUAAAGUUGACACAAAGUUGACAGAAUGUGGCACACGAAUGUUAUAGUAAAACUGGAAAAUGUGUAGGUGAAGUAACCAGUUGUUCUCUAUGCCUCUAAAAUAUGACUUGACAUU